rnacentral:rRNA from 1 species
AUUAAGAGCUUGCUCUUAUGAAGUUAGCGGCGGACGGGUGAGUAACACGUGGGUAACCUGCCCAUAAGACUGGGAUAACUCCGGGAAACCGGGGCUAAUACCGGAUAACAUUUUGAACCGCAUGGUUCGAAAUUGAAAGGCGGCUUCGGCUGUCACUUAUGGAUGGACCCGCGUCGCAUUAGCUAGUUGGUGAGGUAACGGCUCACCAAGGCAACGAUGCGUAGCCGACCUGAGAGGGUGAUCGGCCACACUGGGACUGAGACACGGCCCAGACUCCUACGGGAGGCAGCAGUAGGGAAUCUUCCGCAAUGGACGAAAGUCUGACGGAGCAACGCCGCGUGAGUGAUGAAGGCUUUCGGGUCGUAAAACUCUGUUGUUAGGGAAGAACAAGUGCUAGUUGAAUAAGCUGGCACCUUGACGGUACCUAACCAGAAAGCCACGGCUAACUACGUGCCAGCAGCCGCGGUAAUACGUAGGUGGCAAGCGUUAUCCGGAAUUAUUGGGCGUAAAGCGCGCGCAGGUGGUUUCUUAAGUCUGAUGUGAAAGCCCACGGCUCAACCGUGGAGGGUCAUUGGAAACUGGGAGACUUGAGUGCAGAAGAGGAAAGUGGAAUUCCAUGUGUAGCGGUGAAAUGCGUAGAGAUAUGGAGGAACACCAGUGGCGAAGGCGACUUUCUGGUCUGU